CUUUUGGCACUGGGUGGCGGUGCCCGGCGGUGGGUCCGUCUCCGAAAGUCCCCGAUUCCAACUUCCCGGAGUCCUAGUAGCCGCGGCGCCGGGUGGCGAGAGGCGGGUCCGAGAGACCCCUGCGACCCUCUGGGGUUCGGGGGUGUGGUUGCACAGGCACGAAAGCUCUUCGGAAGUCGCAGUCAGCAGGCGGAGCUCCUCGCCGUAGUUUUCACCGAAGGUUAGCUAGGACCGACAGCCGCCCUCCGUCCCCGCAGAAGAGUCAGGGAUCGGGCUCCGGAUUCCUGGAGCGGUUCUCCCGACACCGGAGCCAAACGGGAGCAGUCCGGAAGGGCGGG